UACGAAGGGGGCUAGCGUUGUUCGGAUUUACUGGGCGUAAAGCGCACGUAGGCGGAUCCUUAAGUCGGGGGUGAAAUCCUGGAGCUCAACUCCAGAACUGCCUUCGAUACUGAGGAUCUCGAGUCCGGGAGAGGUGAGUGGAACUGCGAGUGUAGAGGUGAAAUUCGUAGAUAUUCGCAAGAACACCAGUGGCGAAGGCGGCUCACUGGCCCGGUACUGACGCUGAGGUGCGAAAGCGUGGGGAGCAAACAGG
rnacentral:rRNA from 1 species